ACGCGAAAGUCCUUCGGGAUGAGUAAAGUGGCGCACGGGUGAGUAACACGUAGGUGACCUGCCUUUUAGAGGGGAAUAACCAGAAGAAAUUUUGGCUAAUGCCGCAUACGAAGUACAAAUCUAAGAGUAGUACUUGAAAGGAUGCCUCUGUAUAUGCAUUCACUAAAAGAUGGGCCUGCGGUACAUUAGCUUGUUGGUGGGGUAAAGGCCUACCAAGGCAACGAUGUAUAUCCGGUCUGAGAGGAUGAUCGGACACACUGGAACUGAGACACGGUCCAGACUCCUACGGGAGGCAGCAGUGGGGAAUAUUGCGCAAUGGGGGAAACCCUGACGCAGCAACGCCGCGUGGGUGAGGAAGGACUUCGGUCUGUAAAGCUCUGUUAAUGUGGAAAAAUGGUAGCUGGUCUAAUAGGCCGGCUAUUUGAUGGUACACAUAGAGGAAGCACCGGCUAACUUCGUGCCAGCAGCCGCGGUAAUACGAAGGGUGCAAGCGUUGUUCGGAUUUAUUGGGCGUAAAGCGCGCGUAGGCGGACCUGUAAGUCAGAUGUGAAAUCUCGGGGGCUCAACCUCGAAACUGCGUCUGAAACUGCAGGUCUAGAAUCUUGGAGGGGGAAGGGGAAUUUCGCAUGUAGGGGUAAAAUCCGUAGAUAUGCGAAGGAACACCAGAGGCGAAGGCGCCUUCCUGGACAAGUAUUGACGCUGAGGCGCGAAAGCGUGGGGAUCAAACAGGAUUAGAUACCCUGGUAGUCCACGCUGUAAACGAUGAAUACUAGUAUUGGAGGAUUUGACCCCUACAGUGCCGUAGCUAACGCGUUAAGUAUUCCGCCUGGGAAGUACGUCGCAGACUAAACUCAANGAAUGACGGGGCCCGCACAGCGGUGGAUUAUUGUGGUUUAAUUCGA
rnacentral:rRNA from 1 species